CCCUUAGAUGUUCUGGGCCGCACGCGCGCUACAAUGGCAGGCUCAGCGAGUUACCUCUGUCGAAAGGCACAGGGAAUCUUUACAGUAUCUGCCGUGAUGGGGAUAGACCCUUGUAAUUUUUGGUCUUCAACGAGGAAUUCCUAGUAAACGCAAGUCAUUAACUUGCAUUGAUUACGUCCCUGCCCUUUGUACACACCGCCCGUCGCACCUACCGAUUGAAUGGUCCGGUGAAGUCCUCGGACCCAGUUGAACCUCGAGUUGAACAGGGAAAGUUGACUAAAUCUUACCAUUUAGAGGAAGGUGAAGUCGUAACA
rnacentral:rRNA from 1 species